UGGGGAAUCUUGCGCAAUGGGCGAAAGCCUGACGCAGCGACGCCGCGUGCGGGAUGACGGCCUGGUUGUAACGCUUCAGCAGGGACGAGGCCGCAAGGUGACGGUACCUGCAGAAGAAGCCCCGGCUAACUACGUGCCAGCAGCGCGGUAAUACUCAU
rnacentral:rRNA from 1 species